UGAGGAAUAUUGGGCAAUGCCCGCAAGGGUGACCCAGCAACGCCGCGUGGAGGAUGAAUGUCGUAAGAUUGUAAACUCCUGUUAGAGGGGAAGAAUAGUACCGGUUGGACCGGUAUAUGACUGUACCCUCAGAGAAAGCCCCGGCUAACUACGUGCCAGCAGCCGCGGUAAUACGUAGGGGGCAAGCGUUGUCCGGAUUUACUGGGUGUAAAGGGCGCGCAGGCGGGAUAAAAAGUCAGUGGUGAAAUCCUACAGCUUAACCGUAGAACUGCCUUUGAUACUUUUAUUCUUGAGUUCGGGAGAGAGAGACGGAAUUCCAGGUGUAGUGGUGAAAUACGUAGAUAUCUGGGAGAACACCAGUUGCGAAGGCGGUCUCUUGGUCCGACACUGACGCUGAGGCGCGAAAGCGUGGGGAGCAAACA
rnacentral:rRNA from 1 species